rnacentral:tRNA from 1 species
AGCGGGGUAGAGGAAUUGGUCAACUCAUCAGGCUCAUGACCUGAAGACUGCAGGUUCGAACCCUAUCCCCGCCU